UCUUUCCAAAUUUUUGGUCAAUUGACCGAUUUUAAUUUUUUUUUCUCUUUUUCCUCUUCUAUAAAAUCUCCUCUUCUUGUCCUUCUUCUUCACUUCUCAUAUUCUUCUUCUUCUCUCUAUUUCUCUCACACAAAAAAAAAAUGGAUCCACACAAUCCUAAUUCGUACGAUUCAAAUUGGGUACCCGACCUCUCCGACGAGUACCACCCCGAUUUAGCCGGUAUUAACUUGGAGGAGGAGCCUCGUCCAAGUGAAG
rnacentral:lncRNA from 1 species